rnacentral:rRNA from 1 species
UACGGGGGGGAGCAAGCGUUGUUCGGAUUUACUGGGCGUAAAGGGCGCGUAGGCGGCCACCGCAAGUCGACUGUGAAAUCUCCGGGCUUAACCCGGAAAGGUCAGCCGAUACUGCGGGGCUAGAGUGCAGAAGGGGCAACUGGAAUUCUCGGUGUAGUGGUGAAAUGCGUAGAGAUCGGGAGGAACACCCGUGGCGAAGGCGACUACCUGGCCCAUUCUUGACGCUGAGGCGCGAAAGCUAGGGG